CUGAAGAGUUUGAUCAUGGCUCAGAUUGAACGUUGGCGGCACGCCUAAUACAUGCAAGUCGAACGAGAAAGUACCUUCGGGUAUGAGUACAGUGGCGGACGGGUGAGUAACGCGUAGGAAUCUACCUUCAGGUGGGGGACAACUCGGGGAAACUCGAGCUAAUACCGCAUAAUACCUAAGGGUCAAAGUGGGGGACCUUCGGGCCUCACGCCAGGAGAGGAGCCUGCGUUAGAUUAGCUAGUUGGUGGGGUAAAGGCCCACCAAGGCGACGAUCUAUAGCUGGUCUGAGAGGACGAUCAGCCACACUGGGACUGAGACACGGCCCAGACUCCUAC
rnacentral:rRNA from 1 species